GACGAACCGAGCAAACGUUAUUCGGAAUCACUGGGCUUAAAGGGCGCGUAGGCGGAGUAUCAAGUCCGUGGUGAAAUCCCCCAGCUUAACUGGGGAACUGCCGCGGAUACUGGUGCUCUCGAGGGGUGUAGGGGCAUGUGGAACUCAGGGUGGAGCGGUGAAAUGCGUAGAGAUCCUGAGGAACGCCGGUGGCGAAAGCGACGUGCUGGACACCUUCUGACGCUGAGGCGCGAAAGCCAGGGGAGCAAACGGG
rnacentral:rRNA from 1 species